rnacentral:rRNA from 1 species
CUCCGCGCCUAUUUUGUUGGUUUCCGGGAGCGGGGUAAUGAUUAAUAGAGACGGUUGGGGGUAUUCAUAUUUAAUUGUCAGAGGUGAAAUUCUUGGAUUUAUGAAAGAUGAACUCCUGCGAAAGCAUUUAUCAAGGACGCUCUCGUUGAUCAAGAACGAAAGUUAGGGGAUCGAAGACGAUCAGAUACCGUCGUAGUCUUAACCGUAAACUAUGCCGACCAAGGAUCGGAGGACGUUACAUGGACGACUCCCCCGGCACUUUGCGAGAAAUCACAAGUCUUUGGGUUCUGGGGGGAGUAUGGUCGCAAGGCUGAAACUUAAAGGAAUUGACGGAAGGGCACCACCAGGAGUGGAGCCUGCGGCUUAAUUUGACUCAACACGGGGAAACUCACCAGGUCCAGA